rfam:Camelus ferus unplaced genomic scaffold scaffold56579, whole genome shotgun sequence.
GAGGGUGUAGCUCAGUGGUAGAGUGCCUACUUAGCAUGCAUGAGGUCCUGGGUUCAACUCCCAGUACCUCCA